CAAAUUUAAUCUAAUAGUUAGAAAUUUAUUUACAAUAAAUUAUUUAUUGUGCAAAUCAAUAAAAUUUGA
rnacentral:tRNA from 1 species